GUUGUUGCAGUUAAAAAGCUCGUAGUUGAAUUUCGGGAUUGACACAUCGGUCGUGCCUUAAGGGGUAUGAACUGGUGUAGUCAAUUUCUCACCUUCUGGAGAACCGCGAUGCCCUUAAUUGGGUGUCACGGGGAACCAGGACCUUUACUUUGAAAAAAUUAGAGUGUUUAAAGCAGGCAUUUUGCUUGAAUACAUUAGCAUGGAAUAAUAAAAUAGGACGGCAUGAUUCUAUUUUGUUGGUUUCUAGGAUCACCGUAAUGAUUAAUAGGGAUAGUUGGGGGCAUUAGUAUUCAAUUGUCAGAGGUGAAAUUCUUGGAUUUAUUGAAGACUAACUACUGCGAAAGCAUUUGCCAAGGAUGUUUUCAUUAAUCAAGAACGAAAGUUAGGGGAUCGAAGACGAUCAGAUACCGUCGUAGUCUUAACCAUAAACUAUGCCGACUAGGAAUCAGACGAUGUUAAUUUUUUAAUGACUCGUUCGGCACCUU
rnacentral:rRNA from 1 species